AACGAACGCUGGCGGCAGGCCUAGCACAUGCAAGUCGAGCGAACCCUUCGGGGUUAGCGGCGGACGGGUUAGUAACGCGUGGGAAUAUACCCUUUGGUACGGAAUAGCCUCGGGAAACUGAGAGUAAUACCGUAUGUGCCCUUCGGGGAAGAUUUAUCGCCAAAGGAUUAGCCCGCGUUGGAUUAGAUAGUUGGUGGGGUAAUGGCCUACCAAGUCUACGAUCCAUAGCUGGUUUGAGAGGAUGAUCAGCAACACUGGGACUGAGACACGGCCCAGACUCCUACGGGAGGCAGCAGUGGGGAAUCUUAGACAAUGGGCGCAAGCCUGAUCUAGCCAUGCCGCGUGGACGAUGAAGGCCUUAGGGUUGUAAAGUCCUUUCAGAUGGGAAGAUAAUGACGGUACCAUCAGAAGAAGCCCGGCUAACUCCGUG
rnacentral:rRNA from 1 species